AAAACUCAUUAGGCGUUUCAUGUGUUGGUACGUUUAUCUCGUAGGAGUCGCGACGUUGAGGUCUUAUUCGCAAUAACACGCGUAUUGGUGCCCCACUCACGUCCGCGGUACGACGGGUUCGCGUACCGAACGAUCCCAGCUAACUGUCUGGCAGUUCACAUUAUUUUGGUACGUUUACUAUUGUGGUGACUUACACACAUGAUUGCAUAGUUUGCAAGUGUGAGUGUGAACAGCGUGAGGUGCGCUGCCGCGCCAGUCUUCCGCAGACCUCUGACCACGAAGAAUCAGUUACAUUGACACAACAUACCUAUCUCGAUUGCUUAUGUUCUUAUUAAAGUUUAAUGUACACAGUA